AGAGUUUGAUCCUGGCUCAGGAUGAACGCUAGCGGCAGGCCUAACACAUGCAAGUCGAGGGGUAACAUAGAAAAGCUUGCUUUUUUGAUGACGACCGGCGCACGGGUGCGUAACGCGUAUACAAUCUGCCUUAUACUGGGGUAUAGCCUUUAGAAAUGAAGAUUAAUCCCCCAUAGUCUCUAACUAUGGCAUCAUAGCUAGAGUAAAGGUUACGGUAUAAGAUGAGUAUGCGUUCUAUUAGUUUGUUGGUGAGGUAACGGCUCACCAAGACUACGAUAGAUAGGGGCCCUGAGAGGGGGAUCCCCCACACUGGUACUGAGACACGGGCCAGACUCCUACGGGAGGCAGCAGUGAGGAAUAUUGGACAAUGGAGGCAACUCUGAUCCAGCCAUGCCGCGUGCAGGAAGACUGCCCUAUGGGUUGUAAACUGCUUUUAUAUAGGAAGAAACCUUGGUACGUGUACCAAGCUGACGGUACUAUAAGAAUAAGGAUCGGCUAACUCCGCGCCAGCAGCCGCGGUAAU
rnacentral:rRNA from 1 species